rnacentral:rRNA from 1 species
GACGAACGCUGGCGGCGUGCUUAACACAUGCAAGUCGAACGGUGAAGCUCCAGCUUGCUGGAGUGGAUCAGUGGCGAACGGGUGAGUAACACGUGAGCAACCUGCCCCUGACUCUGGAGUAAGCGCUGGAAACGGCGUCUAAUACUGGAUACGAGAAGGGUCCGCAUGGGCACUUUCUGGAAAGUUUUUCGGUUGGGGAUGGGCUCGCGGCCUAUCAGCUUGUUGGUGAGGUAAUGGCUCACCAAGGCGACGACGGGUAGCCGGCCUGAGAGGGCGACCGGCCACACUGGGACUGAGACACGGCCCAGACUCCUACGGGAGGCAGCAGUGGGGAAUAUUGCACAAUGGGCGAAAGCCUGAUGCAGUGACGCCGCGUGAGGGAUGACGGCCUUCGGGUUGUAAACCUCUUUCAGCAGGGAAGAAGCGAAAGUGACGGUACCUGCAGAAGAAGCACCGGCUAACUACGUG